ensembl:lncRNA
UUUUUUUUUUUUUUUUCGGUGAAAGCCUAAUUCAACGGAACGCACGCAUAAAAGCUUAUACGCACUUCUACCUCGUACAAAAUUAAUGUGAUUUUUAUGAAUUUUUUAUUUUUCUUUUUUCAUUCCUCAUUUUUCAUUGCUCAUUUCUCAUUUUUCAUUGCUCAUUUCUCAUUUUUCAUUGCUUAUUUCUCUUCUUUUUUUUUUUUUUCACUUUUUUUUAAAUCAUCAACUUUAUUAGCCCUUUUAAAUAUAUAUAUAUAUAUAUAUGUACUUACAGUCUCACGCGUGUUUGUCAAUAUCCCCAUUUUAAUUAUGUUUGUUUAUAUUUAUUUUUUUUUACUUAUUUAUUAUAACACUUAUUUUUUUUUCCUAGGUAAUAUAAUUGACGAUUAUAUUUUUCGCAAUUUUUUUCAGUUAAUAUAUAUAUAUAUAUAUAUAUGUAAGUAUGUAUAUAUACAGGUAUAGAUAUAGAUAAGCACGCACUACAUUUCCUCAUUUACUUGUCCUAACAUUUUGAUAGCUUUUGACAUUUUUUUUUUUUUUUUUUUCAAAAUGGAAGAAAACACAAACUCAGAAAAUAUGUCAAACGAACAUGUUGAAGAAAUGAUUGAACAAUCUUUAAAAUCAGGAGAUACAAAUGAGCAUCCUUAUUUUUUACAACAAAAUAAUAUUUACUGGGAAACAGGUCAUAGGACCUACAUCCCUUUUUUCCAUUUUUUAAUACACAAAUAUACUAAUAAAAUAAUAGACGACCAAAUAAGAAAAUUUACGCACAGUGUAAAAAGUGUUCACCACACCCCCUUUGUAUUUCAUAAAGAUGGUUAUUUUCGAAGCUACUAUGCAGACCCUGAUAUUAAUAUAGUUUUUAAUUUAAAAAAAAAUACAAACUUUGUUUUUAAUUCUACUGGUAAUAACAGUUCAUAUAAUAUGUUGACUAAUAAUUCCACAUAUGAUAAACCUACUUACAUAUUUAAUGAAAUUCUUAUGAGUGCAUUUAAAUUAGAUGUAAAAAACAUUCUAGAAAAUACCGUAUAAUCAAUAUACAAAGAAUAAGAACGCACAAAAAAAAAGUAUCUAUAUACGUACAUAUAUAUAUAUAUAUAUAUAUUACAGAUGUAUCUAUAUGUACAUAAUAUUAUAGAUGUAUCUAUAUAUGUUAAUAGAAUAGCUUUUUUUGGAAAAAAAUAUAUAAUAAUAUAUUUUAAUUAGGUACACAUUAUUGGACAAAAAAAAAAAAAAAAAAAAAAAAAAAAAAAAAAAGGGAAUUAUAUAGUUAAUUAAAGGCAACUAAAUGAUUAAUUAAAUGUAAUUUAAAGAAUGUAAGAAAAGUAUUUAUUAUUAGAACAUUUGUUUAUAUUAGCGCAUAUGUAUGUAUCUAUAUAUGUGCACAUGUUUGAACAUAGACAUACUAUUUUUUUUUUUUUUUUUUUUUCAUUUUUUUUUUAUUAUUGUUUAUGAACAUAUUAUAUAUAAAUUUCCAAAACCUGUUGAAGUAGUUACAUUUGUAUUGACCUUUGAAAUAAUACCAUAUAUUAAGAAGAAAACGUGUAAAUAUACAUACACACAUAUAUAUAUAUAUAUAUAUAUAUAUCCUUGUUUUGUGCUUAAAUUAUAUUUAAGAAAACUAAACGCCUAUAUCAUACUCCUUUUUUAUUAAUUCAUUAUUUUUUUAGCAACUUUCUUUUGCUAUUUAUUUUUAUUGUUUUUUAAAUCAAUUUUAUUUUUUUUUAAAACAUUAAGUAUAGAAAGAACUGGAAUUAUUCAAUUAAAAUAAGUUAUAACAAUGUUUAGUAUAAACAUACAUCCAUAUAU